UUCCGGUUGAUCCUGCCGGAAGCUACUGCUAUUGGGAUUCGACUAAGCCAUGCGAGUCAAGGUGUCUUCGGACGCCGGCAUACGGCUCAGUAACACGUAGGUAACCUACCCUCAGGACCGAGAUACCCCCGGGAAACUGGGGUUAAUAUCGGAUAGGUAAAAGACACUGGAAUGUUCUUUUAUCUAAAGCUUUUGCGCCUGAGGAUGGGCCUGCGCCCGAUUAGGUUGUUGGUGGGGUAAUGGCCCACCAAGCCUGCGAUCGGUACGGGCAGUGGGAGCUGUAGCCCGGAGUUGGGGACUUAGACAAGGCCCCAGGCCCUACGGGGCGCAGCAGGCGCGAAACCUCUGCAAUGCGGGAAACCGUGACAGGGGGAUCCCAAGUGCUCAUGCAUUGCAUGGGCUGUUCUUUGGUCUAAGUAACCAGAGGAGUAAGGGCUGGGCAAGACCGGUGCCAGCCGCCGCGGUAAUACCGGCAGCUCAAGUGGUAGCCGCGAUUAUUGGGCCUAAAGCGUUCGUAGCCGGAUAAGUAAGUCUUUGGUUAAAUCCUGCGACUUAACCGUGGGAAAUCUAGAGAUACUGCUCAUCUUGAGACCGGGAGAGGUUGGAGGUACUCCUAGGGUAGGGGUAAAAUCCUGUAAUCCUAGGGGGACCACCUGUGGCGAAGGCGUCCAACUGGAACGGGUCUGACGGUGAGGGACGAAACCUAGGGGAGCGAGCCGGAUUAGAUACCCGGGUAGUCCUAGGCGUAAAUGAUGCGAGUUAAGUGUGGGGGCAUCUACGAGAUGGCCCUGUGCUGUAGGGUAGCCGUUAAACUCGCCGCCUGGGGAGUACGGUCGCAAGGCUGAAACUUAAAGGAAUUGGCGGGGGAGCACCACAAGAGGUGGAGGCUGCGGUUCAAUUGGAGUCAACGCCGGG
rnacentral:rRNA from 1 species